rnacentral:SRP_RNA from 1 species
GCCAGGUGCAGUGGCGCGUGCCUGUAGUCCCAGCUACUCGGGAUGCUGAGGUGGGAGUAUCGCUUGAGUCCAGCAGUUCUGGGCUGUAGUUAUGCCGAUUGGAUGUCUGCACUAAGUUUGGCAUCAAUAUGGUGACCUCCCAGGAGCAGGGGACCACCAGGUUGCCUAAGGAGGGGUGAACCAGCCCAGGUUGGAAACGGAGCAGGUCAGAACUCCUGUGCUGAUCAGUAGUGGGAUUGCGCCUAUGAAUAGCCACUGCACUCCAGCCUGGGCAACAUAGCAAGACCCCAUCUC